AUUCUCAACCUAACAAGUUCUUAACGGGACUUGCNUAGGCUUGGACUUGGAGGCUUGUCGGCUCUAGCAGUCGGCUCCUCUCAAAUGCAUUAGCUUGGUUCCUUGCGGAUCGGCUCACGGUGUGAUAAUUAUCUGCGCCGCGACCGUUGAAGCGUUUAAUGGCCAGCUUCUAAUCGUCUCUUGCGAGACAGCUUUCAUCGAA
rnacentral:misc_RNA from 1 species